GCGCGAGGUUGGGGGGAGCUGCGGCUGAUGGACGAUUAGUUCUCUCAGUUCAUCUCCAGGCAAGGGAGUAAACAAAUUAAUCUCGGAGCGGGAGCAGCCUGGAAGAUGAUGGAAGCCUUAAGGAUCCAGCAGCGUCUUUGCUGGGAAACCAGGAGGUACCACAGAGGCCCAGGGUGGCCUUAUUGCUGGCUCUGAGAGGUCAGGCUCUGGUCUGAGGUCACACAGUGAGAAGGGGCGCUCCCGCUGGGUUUUGAGAACAAAGGGAAAGUUGGGAAUAGUGCUACUUCUCCCAGACAAGCUUUGCCAGGGAUGAAGCCUCAGCUUCCCAGCCUAUUCUCUUGACCUCCAGGACCCCCCAGUAUCACCUCUCUUGCUACAGCUUCUUCUCUUACCUCUCCUUCCCAAUCUCUGGUACCAGGUUCAUUUGCUCACUUUCACCAGCCCUUGUUUCUGCUCACAACCUUCAGUGACUCACUAUCACCCUUGGACUGAAGCUCAGACUCCUCCCUGUGACAUUCUGGUCCCUCCAGGAUAUUACCACAACCCAUUUUUCCAGUCCAAGUGCCCACUGCUCUUUGCAGCUGCAAUCAGGUGCAUCUAAGAAGGUAUGAAGGUGAAGAUGAGGAGGUGCAGGGAGAUAGUGAUAUGCCCUGAGGUACUGGGGGUAAAAACCAAGCAGAAACCAGGAGCAUCAAAGUUCUGGGAAUCAGCUUUACUCCAUCUCUAUCAACACCUGCUCUGGAGAACACAGAUGAAAGAAGAAUAUGGCAAAAAUAUGAAGCUGGCUCUUCUAUGACCAAAUCUUAGGAAACAAUAUUUGAAUUCCUUGUUACUCAAAGAAGGCUCCAACAGUUAGCAGCAUCAGCAAUACCCAAGAGCUUGUGAGAAAUGCAGAAUCUUAGGAUCUUCCCUAGACCUACUAAAUGAGAGCCUGAAUUUUAACAAGAUUCCCUGGUGAUUUAUAUACAUGUUCAUAUAUACACAUUUUUUUAAAGUACAAAUCUACCUUAUUUAUCAACAGGACAAUAAAGACCCUUUUAGACUUGGUCCUAGGGAAAGAGCCCUGGGAUCAUUCCAGCCAUAACACUCUAUGUCUCUAAAGAGUUUACAAUCACAUAAGUACAGAAAAGAAAACCAAGGUCCAGAGAAUACAAGUUCAUGGUUGUAGCAUAUGAUGCAUGAACAUUGCUUCUGACUCAAUCUAGGUCGCCCAAUAUCUUGGCUAAUAUAUGAAGGGAUUAUAGACAAAUUGCUUUCAAUAAUGUGUGUGGCUUUAAGGAAAAUGAUGGUUGAAGGUGCUGCAAGGAAAGAAAACUACAGGCCACUUUCUUUCAUAAAUACAGAUGAGAAAUCCUCAACAAAAUCCUAGCAAAGCAUAUCUAGCAACAUAUAAACAGGAUU
rnacentral:lncRNA from 1 species